CUUAUAGUUUGGAUCCCGUUCAGAUUGAACGCGGUCGGCAUGCCUUACACAUGCAAGUCGAACGGCAGCACGUAGCUUGCUCUGGUGGCGAGUGGCGAACGGGUGAGUAAUAUAUCGGAACGUACCCUAGAGUGGGGGAUAACGUAGCGAAAGUUACGCUAAUACCGCAUACGAUCUAAGGACGAAAGUGGGGGAUCUGCAACGACCUCAUGCUCGUGGAGCGGCCGAUAUCUGAUUAGNUAGUUGGUAGGGUAAAAGCCUACCAAGGCAUCGAUCAGUAGCUGGUCUGAGAGGACGACCACCCACACUGGAAGUGAGACACGGUCCAGACUACCUGACGGCGAGGCACGCAGUGUGGGAAUUUUGGACAAUGGGGGGGAACAUGUUCCAGCAGAUGCCGCGCUGAGUGAAGAAGGCCUUCGGGUUGUAAAGCUCUUUUGGAAGGGAAGAACCGGUGAGAGUAUA
rnacentral:rRNA from 1 species